rnacentral:pre_miRNA from 1 species
CAUCUGCUCCCUCAGUCCCAUAUUAAGUGCCGAAAUAUUACAUGUAUCUAGACGUAUUUUAGUAUAUAUAGAUAUGUCCAUAUUUAGACAAAUUUGAGUCACUUAAUAUGGGACGGAGGGAGUAAUCA